rnacentral:rRNA from 1 species
UGGGGAAUUUUGGACAAUGGGCGAAAGCCUGAUCCAGCAAUGCCGCGUGUGUGAAGAAGGCCUUCGGGUUGUAAAGCACUUUUGUCCGGAAAGAAAUCCUUGGCUCUAAUACAGUCGGGGGAUGACGGUACCGGAAGAAUAAGCACCGGCUAACUACGUGCCAGCAGCCGCGGUAAUACGUAGGGUGCAAGCGUUAAUCGGAAUUACUGGGCGUAAAGCGUGCGCAGGCGGUUUGCUAAGACCGAUGUGAAAUCCCCGGGCUCAACCUGGGAACUGCAUUGGUGACUGGCAGGCUAGAGUAUGGCAGAGGGGGGUAGAAUUCCACGUGUAGCAGUGAAAUGCGUAGAGAUGUGGAGGAAUACCGAUGGCGAAGGCAGCCCCCUGGGCCAAAUACUGACGCUCAUGCACGAAAAGCGUGGGGAGCAAACAGGAUUAGAUACCCUGGUAGUCCACGCCCUAAACGAUGUCAACUAGUUGUUGGGGAUUCAUUUCCUUAGUAACGUAGCUAACGCGUGAAGUUGACCGCCUGGGGAGUACGGUCGCAAGAUUAAAACUCAAAUGAAUUGACGGGGUCAUAGCUG